GUCCUUUCGUUUUUUUGGAAGGUCUGGCCUGCCCAGUGAAUAUUUAACGGCCGCGGUAUAUUGACCGUGCAAAGGUAGCAUAAUCAUUAGUCUUUUAAUAGGGGGCUGGUAUGAAAGGUUUAACGAAACAUUAACUGUCUCAUUUAUAAAUUUAUAACUUAACCUUUAAGUUAAAAGGCUUAAAUUUAAUUGUUGGACGAGAAGACCCUAUAGAGCUUUACAUUAAUUGUUUUAAUACUAUGUUGUUUUAUAAUUUUUUAUUAAAUUUAUUACUGUUUUGUUGGGGUGACAGGAAAAUAUAAUUAACUUUUUUAUUUGAUAAUCAUUAAUUUAUGUUUAUUGGAUCCAAUAUUAUUGAUCAUUAGAUUAAGUUACCUUAGGGAUAACAGCGUAAUCUUCUUUCAGAGAUCAAAUUUACAAGAAGGCUUGCGACCUCGAUGUUGGAUUAAGAUAAUAAUUAGGUGUAGUAGCUUAAUUAAUAGGUCUGUUCGACCUUUAAAUUCUUACAUGAUCUGAGUUCAGACCGG
rnacentral:rRNA from 1 species